GCUGUGGUGACCGAGUGGUUAAGGCGUUGGACAUGAAAUCCAAUGAGUUGUACCGGCGCAGGUUUAGUCCUGCCCGCAGCU
rnacentral:tRNA from 1 species